GGUGGCGGAAUGACUGUAAUGCGGUUGUGGAUAGCAUUUCCCAGUCGGGUUUUCGCUUUGUUCCACGGGAUGUUGGGGAGGAGAGAGGUGGGGUGACAGGGGCACUAUUGGAAAUUCUGAGAGGGGGGAGGGAGGAUAAGUUGCAGAGGUAAGGGAGAAUGUAGGAUGAAUGGUGAGGUGGUGGUGGGUUUUCAUGGCGAGAUGGGCUUGGGAAUGAUGAUGAUGUGGGGCUAGCAUGGUAUGAUGGUGCAGGACUUGGGAAUGAUGAUGACAUUGGGCUUGGUUGGAUUGAUGAACAUGUGCUUAUGUUUGUUGACAUCACUGCCAUUUCAUUUGGAGAUGGCUUACAUCCCUGUAAUCAAACAAGAUUUUACAGAUUUAGGGUUCUCUAAUUCAAAUUGAAAAAUCAAAAUUGCAUCUUAAUUCUGUAAAUCGAUCCUAAACAGGAAGCAGUUUUGAUAUGUUCUUCAAAGUUGCAAUAAGCCCCAAACCCUAGAACGAGAUUUUAAGUGAAUCGAGGUCUGGAAGUCAACUCAUCCCCCAAUCUUAUCUUGUUCUAACAUAAUAUCAAACAAAUUUUGAAAUAAUUGACCAGGGAAGUGAUUUCGAUAACGAAAUCAUCCUUAAAACGAAUGCAAACAUCUAGCAUUUAACGCUGAGAAAGGGGAUUUAGAAGUAAGUAGAUCUAGGAAAAACCCUAAUUACGAUACAGAUGAAAUUGGAAUUUGGAGAAACAGACCUUGGGAUAAGUGGUGCCGUCUUCUUCAACGACCCAACCAGCUUCAGCGCAGAGUGCUUUCAAGACCUCGUUAUUGUCACAGUGUUUGGGAAGACGAUAGUUCCCCUGAGAUCGAAGUCCGGCGUAGAUCUUUGCGGCGAUGGCUCUUCUUCUCCUCUCUCGUCUCUUGUUGUUCUCUCUCUCCUUCCACGACGGGAGCCGUC
rnacentral:lncRNA from 1 species